rnacentral:rRNA from 1 species
UUACGGCUCAGUAACACGUAGCUAACCUACCCUCAGGACGGGUAAAACCUCGGGAAACUGAGGUUAAUACCCGAUAGGUAUGGAAUCCUGGAAUGGUGCCAUGCCUAAAAGUAAUCGCAUCCAUGUUUGCGUGCACGCCUGAGGAUGGGGCUGCGGCCGAUCAGGCAGUUGGUGAGGUAACGGCUCACCAAACCUUUGACCGGUACGGGCCAUGAGAGUGGUAGCCCGGAGAUGGGCACUGAGACAAGGGCCCAGGCCCUACGGGGCGCAGCCGGUACGAAACCUCCACAAUUCACGAAAGUGAGAUGGGGUUACCUCGAGUGCCGUCUGAAGAAGGCGGCUUUUCCAUUGUGUAAUGAGCCGUGGGAAUAAGGGGGGGGCAAGACUGGUGUCAGCCGCCGCGGUAACACCAGCCCCCCGAGUGGUGGGGAUGAUUAUUUGGCCUAAAGCGUCCGUAGCCGGCCCGGUAAAUCCCUCGUUAAAUCCAGCGUCCUAAGCGUUGGGCUGCGAGAGAGACUGCCGGACUAGAGGGUGGGAGAGGUCAGCGGUAUUCCUGGGGUAGGGGCGAAAUCCAUUGAUCCCAGGAGGACCACCAGUGGCGAAGGCUGCUGACUAGAACACGCCUGACGGUGAGGGACGAAAGCUGGGGUAGCGAAUCGGAUUAGAUACCCGAGUAGUCCCAGCCGUAAACGAUGCAGGCUAGGUGUUGGGUUGGCCACGCGCCAGCUCAGUGCCACAGGGAAGCCAUUAAGCCUGCCGCCUGGGGAGUACGGCCGCAAGGCUGAAACUUAAAGGAAUUGGCGGGGGAGCACCACCAGGCGUGAAGCCUGCGGUUUAAUUGGAGUCAACGCCGGA